rnacentral:rRNA from 1 species
CAAUGGGCGCAAGCCUGAUCCAGCCAUGCCGCGUGUGCUGAAGAAGGCCUUCGGGUUGUAAAGCCCUUUUCUCGGGGAGGAUAGGNNUNUUGGUUAAUACNNUGAAGUUUUGACGUUACCCACAGAAUAAGCACCGGCUAACUCCGUGCCAGCAGCCGCGGUAAUACGUAGGGUGCAAGCGUUAAUCGGAAUUACUGGGCGUAAAGCGUGCGUAGGUGGUUNGUNNNGUCNGAUGUGAAAUCCCCGGGCUCAACCUGGGAACUGCAUUGGAAACUGGCAGGCUANNGUCUGGUAGAGGGNGGUGGAAUUCCNGGUGUAGCGGUGAAAUGCGUAGAUAUCCGGAGGAACACC